GGUUUGAUUAUGGCUCAGAUUGAACGCUGGCGGGAUGUUUACUGAUGCAAGUCGAACGGGCAGGACUUCGGUCUGGUGGCGAGUGGCGAACGGGUGAGUAAUGGGACGGAACGUGCCUAGUAGCGGGGGAUAACUACGCGAAAGCGUAGCCAAUACCGCAUACGCCCUUCGGGGAAAGCGGGGACCUUUCGGGCCUCGCACUAUUAGAGUACCGGAUAUCAUCGAGCCAGUUGUAGUAACGGCUCACCAAGGCGACGAUCCGUAGCUGGUUUGAGAGGACGACCAGCCACACUGGGACUGAGACACGGCCCAGACUCUACGGGAGGCAGCAGUAAGAAUUUUGAUGUCAGAAACUCCUGAUCCAGCCAUCCCGCGUGCGAUGAAGGCCUUCGCUUGUAAAGCACUUUCGGCAGGAAAGAAACGGCACGGAUAAUACCCCGUGCAACUGACGGUACCUGCAAUAAGCACCGGCUAACUACGUGCCAGCAGCCGCGGUAAUACGUAGGGUGCAAGCGUUAAUCGGAAUUACUGGGCGUAAGCGUGCGCAGGCGGCUCCGGAAAGAAAGAUGUGAAAUCCCAGAGCUUAACUUUGGAACUGCAUUUUUGAAUUACCGAUGAUGGUGUCAGAGGGAGGUGGAAUUCCGCGUGUAGCAGAAUGCGUAGAUAUGCGGAGGAACACCAUGUAUAAAGGCAGCCUCCUGGGAUAACACUGACGCUCAUGCACGAAAGCGUAGGAGCAAACAGGGAUUAGAUACCCUGGUAGUCCACGCCCUAAACGAUGUCAAAUUUAUUGUUGGGGCCUUCGGGCCUUUAUAGCGCAGCUUAACGCAGUUGACCGCCUGGGGAGUACGGUCGCAAGAUUAAAAACUCAAAGAAUUGACGGGGACCCGCACAAGCGGUGGAUGAUGUGAUUAAUUCGAUGCAACGCGAAAACCUUACCUACCUCGAUGUCUGGAAUCCCGAAGAGAUUUGGGAUGCUCGCAAGAGAACCGGAACAUAGGUGCUGCAUGGCUGUCGUCAGCUCGUGUCGUGAGAUGUUGGGUUAAGUCCCGCAACGAGCGCAACCCUUGUCAUUAGCUGCUACGAAAGGGCACUCAAUGACUGCCGGUGACAAACCGAGGAAGGUGGGGAUGACGUCAAGUCCUCAUGGCCCUUAUGGGUAGGGCUUCACACGUCAUACAAUGGUCGGGACAGAGGGUCGCCAAGGCGAGGGGGAGCCAAUCCCAGAAACCCGAUCGGGCCCGGAUCGCAGUCUGCACCUGACUGUGAAGCUGAACUAGUAAUCGCGGAUCAGCAUGUCGCGGUGAAUACGUUCCCGGUCUUGUACACACCGCCCGUCACACCAUGGGAGUGGGUUUUACCAGAAGUAGUUACUCUAAUCCGGGGCAGGAGGGCGAUUACCACGGUAGGAUUCAUGACUGGGGUGAAGUCGUAACAAGGUA
rnacentral:rRNA from 1 species